GACACUUUGGCCGAGUGGUUAAGGCGAUGCCCUGCUAUACAUUGGCCAAGGCAUUGGGGUUUCCCCGCGUGUGUUCGAAUCGCACAGGUGUCG